GCGGCAAACUUUACUUUUGCCUUGGGCGGCAAAAAUCCUUGUACCGGCCCUGGCUGGAGGGGGCUGUGUGAGCUGUGGCCGCACAGUGUCCCAUGGUAGUUAGGGUGCCGUGCGGCCAGUACAGCUCACUCAAGCAAACAGCUGAUAAACUGGCCGCACGGAGGAAAUGUGUAUGUGUGACUGUCUGCCUGUGAAUGUGUGUGACUGUCUG